GACGAACGCUGGCGGCGUGCUUAACACAUGCAAGUCGAACGGUAAGGCCCUUCGGGGUACACGAGUGGCGAACGGGUGAGUAACACGUGGGUGAUCUGCCCUGCACUUCGGGAUAAGCCUGGGAAACUGGGUCUAAUACCGGAUAGGACCCUGGGAUGCAUGUCCUGGGGUGGAAAGCUUUUGCGGUGUGGGAUGGGCCCGCGGCCUAUCAGCUUGUUGGUGGGGUGAUGGCCUACCAAGGCGACGACGGGUAGCCGGCCUGAGAGGGUGACCGGCCACACUGGGACUGAGAUACGGCCCAGACUCCUACGGGAGGCAGCAGUGGGGAAUAUUGCACAAUGGGCGCAAGCCUGAUGCAGCGACGCCGCGUGAGGGAUGACGGCCUUCGGGUUGUAAACCUCUUUCAGCACCGACGAAACGCAAGUGACGGUAGGUGCAGAAGAAGGACCGGCCAACUACGUGCCAGCAGCCGCGGUAA
rnacentral:rRNA from 1 species